UACGAAGGGGGGCUAGCGUUGCUCGGAAUCACUGGGCGUAAAGGGUGCGUAGGCGGGUCUUUAAGUCAGAGGUGAAAUCCUGGAGCUCAACUCCAGAACUGCCUUUGAUACUGAGGAUCUUGAGUAUGGGAGAGGUGAGUGGAACUGCGAGUGUAGAGGUGAAAUUCGUAGAUAUUCGCAAGAACACCAGUGGCGAAGGCGGCUCACUGGCCCAUUACUGACGCUGAGGCACGAAAGCGUGGGGAGCAAACAGG
rnacentral:rRNA from 1 species